CUCACCCUUCUUUUUGGGGAGAAAAGGAAGGGUGAGAAGAUCAGGAGGAGAGAGAGUAGAUCGGAGAGAGAGGGGAAGGGAGGGGAGCCCUCCCCCUCUCUGUCCUAUCUCCUCCUCCUCCUCCUUCUGAUCUCACCCUUCUUUUUCUCCCUCCCCUUCUCUCUCCUAUCUCCUCCUCCUCUCUGUCCUAUCUAUCUAUCUUUCUUCGGGGGUUGCCUACAUUCUUCUUCCCCUCCAAGUUUUUCUGUUGAGGGACCUCCUGACAAACAUACAGAUUGGUGACAAACAUGCAGGAGGUCCCUCUUAGCAUUUUUUUACUAACCAGUGUGUGAGUUUCUCUCCCCAGAUACCUCCUGCCUUACCUAAGAGGGCUGCUGGACUUGCUGCCAGCCAACCUCCAGAACUGGUGCUUCAACGACAUCAAGCAGAUUCAGACAGGAUGGACCAGAGAUGACGGGAGGCAGAUCCAGGACUAGUGCAUGACUCGAGAGACCGUGCAAUUAACACAAGAGCCAUCUCUCCAAGACCCCCGAUCUUAUGAAAGAUCAGAUCAAGAAAGCAGACAAGGAACAGCCCAUGAAGUGAAUCCAGAUUAUGGCAGAGGGGACGAUUAUUACAGUGACGCAAAAGCCCUGCAACAGACUGGUGACCUGUCCAGGGUGUCCCCUGCCUUCGCCUGAGUCAGCUGGGAUAGACUCCAGCACCCCCCGCGACCUUAGUGAGGAUAAAGUGGUGUAUAGAGAAUGGAUGGAUGGUUGAAGUGGAUGCCGAACAGCGAGCCAGGUUCCAGUGAGCUUCGUAAAGUGAGGAGCGGAUCAACACGCGUGGAGGGUAAAUGCAGAGUUCAAGAGAUUGACAACGUUUCCGCUCCAGUCCUGUUUCUUCUCUCAGCUGGACAUUUUGUCUGACAAACUUCUAACCUUGUAUCAGAAGAGGGGAGGACGAAUUGGAAAGAAGCUGAAGCAGCUGAUGGAACACACGACAGACGUAAGAGGAGAGAGAAAAGUGGUUUUAACCCAUAAGAAGCCAGGCAUAUGUUUUCCUUUUAGAAAAGUGAUGGGGGAAAUAACGGAAUAAAGAGACUUCGAUUAAGACAUUUCUGCAGUCCAUGUAGAAUCCCAGCGUCCAGUCUGUAAAAUGGUGCUUUUGGUGUUAAAGGAGACAUUAUGCAACAUCAACUUUUUAGAGCUUUUACCAAUGUUAUGACAUUGUUCCCUCAUCAGAACAUAUCUGAAGUGCUGUUUCACUUCAUUCACUCUGUUUUCAGUAAUCCUGUUUCUUCUACUGCUGAAGUGCUCCAAUCUGUACUUACAUAUACAGAAUUAUAUUGUCAUAAAUGAAACACAAAACUGUCUUCUACAUUUCUGAAUUCCAUAAUCCAUCAGCAGACCUUUUUCUGAGCAGUUCUGUGCUCCAAAAUGUUCAUCACAGCGUCAUUCCCACUGUUGGCUGCAGAGUUUAUUUAGACUUGAAGAUGUAACUGAAGCUAGAGCUAGUUAAUCUGCUGUGGUUGGUUGAAUCUUCCUGUCACUUUCUAAGAGGAUGACCAGUAGGAAAAGAUGGCUAGAAGUAGGCGGUGUGUGUUUUUGUGCAUAGAACUGUAUGAUUUAGGAAUGGUACUGAGAUCUGUUCAGCAUCCAGGGAAGAAGAUGUCAGUUCUGGGAGGGAGUGCGUUUUGAAGGCAUUAUGCGUCUACUUCAACGAAGACCCUGACAGCCUGAUUAAAGAGCAUGUGGGAAACAGCAAAGCCAUCUUUGUGGACUACGCAGAAGACACCACUGUGGGAAUCUUCACUGCAAAACAACAUGAGGCCCAGUCCAAAGCAGAUGACAUCGGAAUCAUCCUGGAAGACCAAAUAGUCCUCCAAGAACUGGACAAUGUUCCACUGGCCCUCCUCUUUGGACUCCUGUAUGCCCUAAACAUGGACUAUCUCCUCAGCAGAAGUACGUUUUUUGAAGUGGUCCAAAUGGUGAUCAUGGAGCUUGAUGGGGGCAGCCUUUCCAAAAAAGCUCAGGUCCUGAAAAACGGACUUCUUGAAUACUGGUUUAUGAUGUUUGAUGUUUCCAUUUUGCACUGGCCUUUGGGCCUCAUGUUGUCUUGCAGUGUUUGUUUAAAAAAAGUUGCUAUUGAUAGGUUUAUGCAAUUGUUAUUCAAGUGUUUCACUUAACUGUGUUUAAAAAAAAAAAAAAGACAAGGUCGGUCUGGAUGGUCAGACUGUCUUUGUUCACAUGUUUAUUUCUUGUGGCUGUAAGUCACUCCAUAUUUGAAUGUAAUCCUAAUCCUACCUAAUAGUUGUGAAGUAUACUGGCUGAACACUUGGUUCAUAUUGUCUUAACAGAGAUGCAAACUUGACAUUUUAAAGGUUUUAACCAUGUUAUCUGAGGUCCCCAAAGGAGUGUUUUGAAGCCUCAAUUCUGCAUAUGUGCGCUUUAAGUUGAAUGUGGAAGGAGCACAUUUCUGUAGAUUAAAUGCAUUGUUUGAGAUGAAAUAUUUCACUGUUAAAACAGGUAAGAAAUAUUAAAUCAGCCUGUUUGAUGAUUGA